ensembl:lncRNA LINC02983 long intergenic non-protein coding RNA 2983
AUUCCCGCUUUCCCCAUUGCUGAGCCAAAGCUCGCACCAAGGAGGGCUCCAAGCCGGGACCCCGGUUGGAGAAAAUCCUGGGGCAUCCAGCGGCACGGAGGGUGGGAACCAGAUGAGCCUCCGCCUCCGCGCACGGUGCCCACAGUCACACCCCCCGUUGGUCCACCUGUGCCAAAAAAAAAAAAAAAAAAAAAAAAAAAGGCCCUUCAUGCGCCCGCAGAGGGCUCUGAGGAGGCACGAGAUGAAGGCAGGGUCCGCGGAGAGGUGGCAAGCUGAAUUCUGAGAAGCCGCUCUGACCCUGACCCUGGGGUCACCCCUCCGUGGUGCAGGUGGCACCGGAGUUGGGCUCGAGCGGAGAGCCGCAUGCCCAUCCCAGUCUCACCGAGCCUUCCUAGGAGGAAAUGCCAGGCCCGGGCGCCCCUACCCCAAGGCGGUGAUCCUGUGAAGCUCGGGCCACCUCAGGGUCCAGCGCCCUCAGAGAUGGAUGGUGUUGACACCGAGGAACGAGGCCGUUCCCUCUCUUUGGUGAACGGAGAAGCUCCUGGCGUGGUUCCCUGCGCAGUCUCCGGGUCCCCAGGCCGUGAUGGGGUGAGCAGGGUGCGCGGCGUGGCCCGGGACACGAGACCGGCCCGGAGCACCCCGGCGUGAGCAGCGGGAAGGAGGGCCCGCCCGGAGAUUUAUGGCCGCAGCCGGCCCCCUGUGCACUGAGCGCGUCUCGGUCCUUUCCCAGCCAAACAGUGGAGUGGAGGACCCGACCCCGGCUGGAGGAAGAGGCCAGGGCCGGAGGCGGGGCCGAGAGGAGCUGGAAUCCAUCGGGGCUGGGCCUGGCGCAUCAGUCCGAAUUCUGCCCGCCUUGCGCCCUGGUCUCGGUGGGGUGUGGGGCGCUGGCGCCGCGUCCCUGGUCUUUCAGGCAGGUCCGGGCAGCUCCUGGCUGGGUUGGCCCGACCUAGACUUGGCGCUGUAUCGCGGCUGGGCCUGUCGCAGCGAGGGGACGGCGAACGUGGCUUUCCCGGGCACAGCCUCUCCGGGUUUUAGCCGCGCCCGCCAGACACGGGACCUGCGGAAACCGGCGCUUAAGACGCCCAGCCACACGGCCUCUCAGCUGGCAGCAGAAGCUGGCAAUCCCUCGGGGGGGUGCCCUUCAAUGAGAUGCCAGCGGAGAGUGGGGGCUUUGGUCCCCACCUGGAAAGGCGGUUGGCGCGACGGGUGGAGUGGCUCGGGUGGCCGCGCCAAGGAAAGGAUCCUGGCUUUUUCUUUCCCCGCUGGGGGAGGGAUAAGGGGAGAACGUGUCCAAGCGGCCAGCAAUACCAGAAUUUGGGAAGAACCGGGUUCAACGCCGAAUUGAGAGAGACCGUCUGAUCGCGGGAGCUGCACCAGCCCGGUGUAGGGGGCCGAGCCUGCGCCAACAAAAGCGCGACAGGGGUGACGGCCGGGCUCAAGGUUGGCCUGUCCUUUGGUUUUAAAACAAAGACGGAGAAUUUUGUCAGUCGGGAGGCGUCCAGGGAGCGGAGGCCGGAGCCAGCGGCCUAGGAACACAGGGAAGGCCUCGGCUCCGGUGGCCCAGGCUGGCCGCGGAGAAGCACGCUGGGCCGGGCCUCGGCUAGCCAGGGCAGCUUCUCCCGCAGCUGCGGCUUAGGGCUACAAGGAAGACCCCCCCAGCCCCCAGCCGAUUUUCUACCCAGUCAAACACACACACACACAGACACGCGCGCGCGCGCGCGCACACACACACACACACACACACACACGCACUUUCACUCAAUUGCGUCCACAGUUUUUGGCCACCUAUCCCGCUGGGUAAACAAAAGUAUGAGGGGGUGGGGAGGGGGAGGGGAUGGAAUGGGGGUGGGGCGCGGAAGAUGGCGGCUGGACCUGGUGGCCUAUGGCCUGUGCCCUAUGGCCACAGCGCCCAGGCCUGGUUUUUACAUUUCAAUGUGGCCCGCCAUACUGGGGAGGGCGUUUCCCUGGACCCUGAAGCCUAGUUAGGGAUGUCCUAGAGGCUCCCCUUUACGAAUGGGGGCACCCGGGCUGCAGCCACUACUACUUCGCUUGGGAUCGGUCCUCCGCCCCAAGAUGGCUCCCAGUCGCUGUUUACUCAGCGACUGCAGGGACACCAGGGCGCGGGGCCGGGGAGCGGGCGAAGAUCACGGAGCGUACAGAUUGGCCCGGGCAGGUGGCCUCUCCGCGUGGCCCGCCCGCGCCCCCAAGCACGCGGCAGCCCUGGAAAACCGCGUGGGCAGGAUGCGUCCUGGCCGCCCCGCCUGGUGGCCAGGAACUGGGAGCCACCACCACCACCGCGUCCCCAGGCCCUGCUCCCCGGCCGGACUCCGGUGGCUGCAGGGCCGCGCAAAUAUGGAGUGGGUGCCGGGGGCAGGUAUGGAAGGGCCGGUGCAAGGGGGCUGGGCGCACAAAGCCCAGGCGGGGAGGGGACCUCCUCUGCCCCGAACCGCGGCCCUAAUGAAAUACCGGCUGGGUUCGUCACACCGCCGAGGCGCACACUUGAAAAAUGCAAACGCCAUUGGCAAAUCCAGGGCAAACAGGCAGAAUUUUUAUUAGCAACUAAAUGAUUUAUGGCACACGUACCCCGCCGUCACAAUUACGGCGUCUCGGAGCAUCCAGGGGGUGAAAACAUUAAACAUUUAUAAAAAUAA